AUUGAACGCUGGCGGAAUGCUUUACACAUGCAAGUCGAACGGUAGAGGGGCAACCCUUGAGAGUGGCGAACGGGUGAGUAAUGUAUCGGAACAUGCCCAGUCGUGGGGGAUAACGUAGCGAAAGUUACGCUAAUACCGCAUACGAUCCAUGGAUGAAAGCGGGGGAUCGCAAGACCUCGCGCGAUUGGAGUGGCCGAUAUCAGAUUAGGUAGUUGGUGGGGUAAAGGCCUACCAAGCCGACGAUCUGUAGCUGGUCUGAGAGGACGACCAGCCACACAGGGACUGAGACACGGCCCAGACUCCUACGGGAGGCAGCAGUGGGGAAUUUUGGACAAUGGGCGAAAGCCUGAUCCAGCCAUUCCGCGUGCAGGAAGAAGGCCUUCGGGUUGUAAACUGCUUUUGUACGGAACGAAACGCGCUGUGCUAAUACCACGGCGUAAUGACGGUACCGUAAGAAUAAGCACCGGCUAACCACGUGCCAGCAGCCGCCGUAAAAC
rnacentral:rRNA from 1 species